UUCUCAUUUCUAGUGCACCAAUCUGCAACACUGAGUGAGUGUCUGGCCCCAAACCCAAAGAAAAUGGGCUCUUAUCACGUAAUGAGAAUCUGUACUCUCUCACCAAGUGUUUUUGCUUUUCCUUUGCAGAGGAACUAGCCAAAGAGCGGGGUGAGUACCCAUCCAUCCCUCAAAUGAAGGAAUUUGGGUUCUACCAGUGGGCAUGUUGAGAAGGCAAGAUGUCCUUUUCCAUCAUGCAUUGUUUUUGCUUUCGUUUGGCAGAGAAAAAAGAUGCAAAACUCAGUGAGUAUCCUGCACCAUAACAAAGCAGUUUGGGGUUCAGGCAUGGAGUAGAAAGCUCUCCCCUCUCAUCAGAUAUUGCUUUUGCUUCUUUUUCCAGGGGAACAAGCUGCAGAGCUGGCGGAACUGAAAGCAGAGCGGGAGGAAAAGAAUGCAAGGCUGGCACACCGAUCUGCAAGACUGCAGGAACUAGCCAAAGAGCGGGAGAAAAAAGAUGCAAAGCUCAGGGAACAAGCUGCAGAGCUGGCAUGGAGAAAGUUUCUGCUGCCUCACUAUACAGGUAGGUGUGUGUUAAGUUGCCCUCUGCAGUGCUUCUCCUGCCCUUGCUGGGGCAUGUUCAGGAGCCA
rnacentral:lncRNA from 1 species